UUGACCUCGGAUCAGGUAGGAACCCAAUUUCC
rnacentral:rRNA from 1 species